rnacentral:lncRNA from 1 species
UUUUUACCCUGCCCCUAUAUGUAACACAAGGUGUUCACCACUAUAUCAAUAUAAGAUAAGGUUUAUACCCCUGCUACUAUGUGUAACAUAAAGGGUUCACGCCUAUAUCAGUGUAAGAUUUAGGCUAUUACUUCUGCCCCUAUAUGUAACACAAGCGUUCACCCCUACUUCCGCUGUGUAAGAUAAGGUUUAUACCCCUGCCCCUAUAUGCAACACAAGGCGUUCACCCCUAUAUCAGCUAAGGUUUUUAGCCCUGCUCCUCCUAUGUGUAACAUAAGGC